AAAACCUUUUCCCGAAACAUGUUUGCUUCUUUUUCGAGAAUACAUGAUUACGAUGAAAACAAACCUCAAGUUUCGUGUUGAAAUAAAAUGGGAAAAGAUCGAUUUCAUAAAGACCAAGUCACUACUUUUGAUUUUUUAAUGAUUGCAGAAAACGGAGAUACCAUGCACGACAUCAUCCCUAAGAAAUUGAUAUGGAAGUUCGGGCGAUUACUCCAUGACGGAGGACUCUAUUCACUCUCUAAAUUCAAUACCACAGCGGAGAAAUCCAGAUUUCGUCCAACAAAGAAUGAUCAUUUUUUAUUCUUCAAAUGGGAUACCGAGGUUGACUGUUUGUUGGGGGAUAUCGGAGGCAUCCCCAUGCAUGCCUUUUUUUUUGCUGAAUUUGAUGACUUGGAGUCUAGAAUAAACAACAUCUACCUUUCGGAUACUCAUUGUUUUUUCCUUUCAGCCAUACUCUUACCACACUUAUUGUUGUUUCUGUUGUCUAUCCAAACAUAGCCUAAUCUUGGUUCGUUAUAUUUUGGUUCGACAUAUACAUAGGGUAUAUUAAAUCUACGAUGAAAAUUGAUUUAAUCAGGAAUUAGGGGUUAUUUUGAUUAAUCGUUUGUAAUCCGAUAUUGUUUUGAUUAUGAUUAAUCCCAUGGGAAAA